rnacentral:tRNA from 1 species
GGCAGUGUGGUCUUAUGGUUAGAGCUUGGGCCUGGGAAUCAGAAGGUCCUGGGUUCUAGUCCUAGCUCUGCCA